GACGAACGCUGGCGGCGUGCUUAACACAUGCAAGUCGAACGAUGAAGCCUUAGCUUGCUUUGGUGGAUUAGUGGCGAACGGGUGAGUAACACGUGAGCAGCGUGCCCAGGACUCUGGAAUAACCGCGGGAAACCGUGGCUAAUACCGGAUAGGUGCCGAGGCCGCAUGGUCUUCGGUUGGAAAGUUUUUGCGGUUCUGGAUCGGCUCACGGCCUAUCAGCUUGUUGGUGGGGUAAUGGCCUACCAAGGCGACGACGGGUAGCCGGCCUGAGAGGGUGACCGGCCACACUGGGACUGAGACACGGCCCAGACUCCUACGGGAGGCAGCAGUGGGGAAUAUUGCACAAUGGGCGCAAGCCUGAUGCAGCAACGCCGCGUGGGGGAUGACGGCCUUCGGGUUGUAAACCUCUUUUAGUAGGGAAGAAGCGCAAGUGACGGUACCUGCAGAAAAAGCACCGGCUAACUACGUG
rnacentral:rRNA from 1 species